rnacentral:rRNA from 1 species
CUACGGGAGGCAGCAGUGGGGAAUAUUGCACAAUGGGCGGAAGCCUGAUGCAGCAACGCCGCGUGAGGGAUGACGGCCUUCGGGUUGUAAACCUCUUUUAGCAGGGAAGAAGCGAGAGUGACGGUACCUGCAGAAAAAGCGCCGGCUAACUACGUGCCAGCAGCCGCGGUAAUA